rnacentral:rRNA from 1 species
GACGAACGCUGGCGGCGCGCUUAACACAUGCAAGUCGAACGGAAAGGCCUGCUUUCCCUUGUGGAUUGCGGGUACUCGAGUGGCGAACGGGUGAGUAACACGUGAGUGAUCUGCCCCCAACUUGGGUAUAAGCCUGGGAAACUGGGUCUAAUUCCCGAUAGGACUGCAGGGUGGUGCCUGUGGUGGAAAACGAUUUUCUAGUGGUUGGGGAUGAGCUCGCGGCCUAUCAGCUUGUUGGUGGGGUAAUGGCCUACCAAGGCGGCGACGGGUAGCCGGCCUGAGAGGGUGGACGGCCACAUUGGGACUGAGAUACGGCCCAGACUCCUACGGGAGGCAGCAGUGGGGAAUAUUGCACCAUGGGCGGAAGCCUGAUGCAGCGACGCCGCGUGGGGGAUGACGGCCUUCGGGUUGUAAACUCCUUUCGACCGCGAGGAAGCCACCUGGUUGGAAGGGUGGUGACGGUAGUGGUAGAAGAAGCACCGGCUAACUACGUG